CACGUAGGGUGCGAGCGUUGUCCGGAAUUAUUGGGCGUAAAGAGCUCGUAGGCGGUUUGUCGCGUCGGCCGUGAAAUCUCCACGCUUAACGUGGAGCGUGCGGUCGAUACGGGCAGACUUGAGUUCGGUAGGGGAGACUGGAAUUCCUGGUGUAGCGGUGAAAUGCGCAGAUAUCAGGAGGAACACCGGUGGCGAAGGCGGGUCUCUGGGCCGAUACUGACGCUGAGGAGCGAAAGCGUGGGGAGCAAACAGG
rnacentral:rRNA from 1 species